GAGGAUCACAUGUUGCAUGGAAAUAUAAUCCUCUUGUUUCUCUCUUCUCCCCACUUCUCUCUUACCAUCCUAUUGUUAAGUGGCCACAUACCUGCCUUCUACAAAACUCCAUAAAACCUUCCUAAAACUUUCGCGAGUUCACGAGAGCGAACACAGAGAGAUCGAUGCCGGAUUGGGGACCGCCGCCGGGAGGACCUCCCGGACCGCCAGGGCCGUGCGGGUGCUUAGGCUUUUGCUGCGACAGUAUUUGCCGACUUGCAUCUUCAUGUUGCUAUUACCUGUUCUGCUGCUGCAUCUUCGAGAGCUGUUGCGGACCGGUUUUCGGUGGGCCCCGUGGUGGGCCUCCGGGUGGGCCCCGUGGUGGGCCUCCGGGUGGGCCCCCUCCCUUCUGAUCGGCUCAUUUACUCCGUGUGAUCAUUUAAUGUAUUGAAAUUGAUGUUGUGGGUUUCUCCUUCUACUUUGCUUGCUGAUCAGCCCAUAUGUUCCGUGCCAGAUCGGACGAAUUUAAUGUUGUGGGGUCCCUUUGUUUAUCUUAAUUAUUUGCUCUCUAGACUGUAAAUAUAAAGACCAUUUCAUUUUGGGUCAGAAAUAAACCUUGGAAAUAAAAGUAUUUAGAUCAUUAUUGUACAA